rnacentral:tRNA from 1 species
UAUAUUUUGGUGUAAGGUGCACUUGAGUUUUUGAUUCUCUCGGUAUUAGUUCAACUCUAUUAAAUAUAA